GUACUUAACUGGCAGGAGAAACACCGUGAUCGAGAAGGCGGUUCCCAUAUGGACGAGGCCUUCCCAUUGCACGUCGGGUGUGCUGACGCCUGCAAUGUCCCUAAAUGCGGGAUGCUCUACUGCAACAUAUAUAUGGUAGUGCGGGACAGCAUUCGCGUAGGUUGGGC